rnacentral:rRNA from 1 species
AAUAUUGGACAAUGGGGGCAACCCUGAUCCAGCCAUGCCGCGUGUGUGAAGAAGGUCUUAGGAAUGUAAAGCACUUUAAGUUGGGAGGAAGGGCUUUAGGAUAAUAGCCUGAAGUAUUGACGUUACCAACAGAAUAAGCACUGGCGAACUCGUUGCCAGCAGCCGCGGUAAUACAGAGGGUGCAAGCGGUAAUCGGAAUUACUGGGCGUAAAGCGCACGUAGGUGGUUCAGUAAGAUUGGUGUGAAAUCCCCGGGCUUAACCUGGGAACUGCUUUCAUAACUGCUGAGCUAGAGUACUGUAGAGGGUAGUGGAAUUUCCUGUGUAGCGGUGAAAUGCGUAGAUAUAGGAAGGAACACCAGUGGCGAAGGCGACUACCUGGACUGAUACUGACACUGAGGUGCGAAAGCGUGGGGAGCAAAC